rnacentral:rRNA from 1 species
UACGAGGGGGGGCGAGCGUUGUUCGGAAUUAUUGGGCGUAAAGGGUGCGUAGGCGGUUUGGUAAGUCUCUUGUGAAAUCUAUGGGCUCAACUCAUAGUCUGCAAGGGAAACUGCCGGGCUUGAGUGUGGGAGAGGUGAGUGGAAUUUCCGGUGUAGCGGUGAAAUGCGUAGAUAUCGGAAGGAACACCUGUGGCGAAAGCGGCUCACUGGACCACAACUGACGCUGAUGCUCGAAAGCUAGGGGAGCAAACAGG